rnacentral:rRNA from 1 species
CCUACGGGUGGCAGCAGUGAGGAAUAUUGGUCAAUGGACGGAAGCCUGAACCAGCCAUGCCGCGUGCAGGAAGACGGCUCUAUGAGUUGUAAACUGCUUUUGUACAAGGGUAAACCUGAAUACGUGUAUUCAGCUGAAAGUACUGUACGAAUAAGGAACGGCUAACUCCGUGCCAGCAGCCGCGGUAAUACGGAGGAUCCAAGCGUUAUCCGGAUUUAUUGGGUUUAAAGGGUGCGUAGGCUGAUUGAUAAGUUAGAGGUGAAAUGUCCGAGCUUAACUCGGGAACUGCCUCUAAUACUGUUGAUCUAGAGAGUAGGUGCGGUAGGCGGAAUGUAUGGUGUAGCGGUGAAAUGCUUAGAGAUCAUACAGAACACCGAUUGCGAAGGCAGCUUACCAAUCUAUAUCUGACGUUGAGGCACGAAAGCGUGGGGAGCAAACAGGAUUAGAUACCCCUGUAGUC